rnacentral:rRNA from 1 species
GACGAACGCUGGCGGCGUGCUUAACACAUGCAAGUCGAACGGCAAGGCCCUGCUUUUGUGGGGUGCUCGAGUGGCGAACGGGUGAGUAACACGUGAGUAACCUGCCCUUGACUUUGGGAUAACUUCAGGAAACUGGGGCUAAUACCGGAUAGGAGCUCCUGCUGCAUGGUGGGGGUUGGAAAGUUUCGGCGGUUGGGGAUGGACUCGCGGCUUAUCAGCUUGUUGGUGGGGUAGUGGCUUACCAAGUCUUUGACGGGUAGCCGGCCUGAGAGGGUGACCGGCCACAUUGGGACUGAGAUACGGCCCAGACUCCUACGGGAGGCAGCAGUGGGGAAUAUGGCACAAUGGGCGGAAGCCUGAUGCAGCAACGCCGCGUGCGGGAUGACGGCCUUCGGGUUGUAAACCGCUUUCGCCUGUGACGAAGCGUGAGUGACGGUAAUGGGUAAAGAAGCACCGGCUAACUACGUG